CAAGCGGUGGAGCAUGUGGUUUAAUUCGAAGCAACGCGAAGAACCUUACCAAAUCUUGACAUCCUCUGACAGCCAUAGAGAUAUGGUUUCCCUUCGGGGCAGAGUGACAGGUGGUGCAUGGUUGUCGUCAGCUCGUGUCGUGAGAUGUUGGGUUAAGUCCCGCAACGAGCGCAACCCUUAAGUUUAGUUGCCAUCAUUAAGUUGGGCACUCUAGACUGACUGCCGGUGACAAACCGGAGGAAGGUGGGGACGACGUCAAAUCAUCAUGCCCCUUAUGAUUUGGGCUACACACGUGCUACAAUGGACAGGUUACAAAGGGCAGCGACGCCGCGAGGCCAAGCGAAUCCCAUAAAACUGUUCUCAGUUCGGAUUGGAGUCUGCAACUCGACUCCAUGAAGCUGGAAUCGCUAGUAAUCGUAGAUCAGCAUGCUACGGUGAAUACGUUCCCGGGGUCUUGUACACACC
rnacentral:rRNA from 1 species